rnacentral:sRNA from 1 species
AUAGAGGAGCGGCCCCGGGACGGGCAGCUAGCGCGACCCUGAGCCGGCGCCCGUGGUCCGGCCAUGGACGACCUCGGUUGCCCUUUUCAUGGUUUGCUCAUAUUCUACCCAGAAAAGACUUAGGAGACUUAGAAGAAGUUAGUACUUUGCAUCUUACCUACACUGCUCUCCUUGGAGGAAGACCUUAUUCUGGAUUUUACAGAGCAAAUCAGAUCUGAUGUUUGUAGCUUCCAAUGUGCUAUGGAGCUUCCUCCUGCAGAGUGACUUGGGUCUGGAGAGCCUGAUAUUUGCAACUGAUGUUUGCAGCUUCCAGUGUACCUGCUAGUCCUUAUAAACCUCACACCAGUACUUUGAGACGCCCUGCUGGCGGACUUGGAGUCUACCACCUCCCACAUCUCCAAACGGCCUGUGUUCUUGUCGGAGGAGACCCCCUACUCAUACCCAACUGGAAACCACACAUACCAGGAGAUUGCCGUGCCACCCCCCGUCCCCCCACCCCCGUCCAGCGAGGCCCUCAAUGGCACAAUCCUUGACCCCUUAGACCAGUGGCAGCCCAGCGGCUCCCGAUUCAUCCACCAG